GUUGCUUCUUGGCCUUUUGGCUAAGGUCAAUGUAGCACAUGUUCUCAUCAGUUUAAAUCUGAUUUUUUUCUAUGGCUUUAUGGGGUGUGUUGAUGCAUGCAUUAAAGGAAAGAUGGUACUAAGAAGAUACUUAAAAUUGCACUUUGAGUUUUUUAAAAAAAAGAUAGCAUCUUUUUUUUAUAAUGUUUCAUUUCCAUGUGAUAAGAGUGCUGAUU
rnacentral:snRNA from 1 species